rnacentral:rRNA from 1 species
CCUACGGGAGGCAGCAGUGGGGAAUAUUGGACAAUGGGCGCAAGCCUGAUCCAGCAAUGCCGCGUGUGUGAAGAAGGCCUUAGGGUUGUAAAGCACUUUCAGUGGGGAAGAAAAGCGGGGUGCCAAUACCACCCCGUCAUGACGUUACCCACAGAAGAAGCACCGGCUAACUCCGUGCCAGCAGCCGCGGU